UACAGAGGGUGCGAGCGUUGUCCGGAAUCACUGGGCGUAAAGCGCGUGUAGGCGGAUGGGCAAGUCUGCUGUGAAAGCUCCUGGCUUAACCGGGAGUGGUCGGUGGAAACUGCCAAUCUGGAGGACGGUAGAGGUAGGUAGAAUUCCCGGUGUAGUGGUGAAAUGCGUAGAGAUCGGGAGGAAUACCUGUGGCGAAGGCGGCCUACUGGGCCGGACCUGACGCUGAGACGCGAAGGCGUGGGGAGCGAACGGG
rnacentral:rRNA from 1 species